AACCCUCUCAUAAAACAACUUGAUUGUUGCUUUGUGGAUGUUGAGUGUUUGCUAUCUUUGUAUAGCUCACUUUAAAUAUAUCAGUCACACUUUUCAUGUAAGUUGGAUUGACUUGGUGUAAUAAUUUAAUCAUCACAUCAAGGAAAGUAGCAAUACUUGCCAUCUUUUGAAGGGAGAGACUCCUAAAAACACAUAAUUUUUUUUUAC
rnacentral:misc_RNA from 1 species